UACGAAGGGGGCUAGCGUUGUUCGGAGUUACUGGGCGUAAAGGGCGCGUAGGCGGCCCUCCAAGUCGGGCGUGAAAGCCCACGGCUCAACCGUGGAAUUGCGCUCGAGACUGAAGGGCUCGAGGACGGGAGAGGAUGGUGGAAUUCCCAGUGUAGAGGUGAAAUUCGUAGAUAUUGGGAAGAACACCGGUGGCGAAGGCGGCCAUCUGGACCGUAUCUGACGCUGAGGCGCGAAAGCCAGGGGAGCAAACGGG
rnacentral:rRNA from 1 species